GACGAACGCUGGCGGCGUGCCUAAUACAUGCAAGUAGAACGCUGAAGAGAGGAGUUUGCUCUUCUCGGAUGAGUCGCGAACGGGUGAGUAACGCGUAGGUAACCUGCCUUGUAGCGGGGGAUAACCAUUGGAAACGAUAGCUAAUACCGCAUAACAAUGGACGACAUAUGUCAUUUAUUUGAAAGGGGCAAUUGCUCCACUACAAGAUGGACCUGCGUUGUAUUAGCUAGUAGGUGAGGUAAUGGCUCACCUAGGCGACGAUACAUAGCCGACCUGAGAGGGUGAUCGGCCACACUGAGACUGAGACACGGCCCAGACUCCUACGGGAGGCAGCAGUAGGGAAUCUUCGGCAAUGGGGGCAACCCUGACCGAGCAACGCCGCGUGAGUGAAGAAGGUUGUCGGGUCGUAAAGCUCUGUUGUAAGUCAAGAACGGGUGUGAGAGUGGAAAGUUCACACUGUGACGGUAGCUUACCAGAAAGGGACGGCUAACUACGUA
rnacentral:rRNA from 1 species